rnacentral:rRNA from 1 species
AUGAACGCUGGCGGCGUGCCUAAUACAUGCAAGUCGAGCGAACAGAUGAGGAGCUUGCUCCUCUGACGUUAGCGGCGGACGGGUGAGUAACACGUGGAUAACCUACCUAUAAGACUGGGAUAACUUCGGGAAACCGGAGCUAAUACCGGAUAAUAUAUUGAACCGCAUGGUUCAAUAGUGAAAGACGGUUUUGCUGUCACUUAUAGAUGGAUCCGCGCCGCAUUAGCUAGUUGGUAAGGUAACGGCUUACCAAGGCAACGAUGCGUAGCCGACCUGAGAGGGUGAUCGGCCACACUGGAACUGAGACACGGACCAGACUCCUACGGGAGGCAGCAGUAGGGAAUCUUCCGCAAUGGGCGAAAGCCUGACGGAGCAACGCCGCGUGAGUGAUGAAGGUCUUCGGAUCGUAAAACUCUGUUAUUAGGGAAGAACAAAUGUGUAAGUAACUAUGCACGUCUUGACGGUACCUAAUCAGAAAGCCACGGCUAACUACGUG